AGGUUCCAACGAAACCCCACACCUCUAUUCGGAACAUUAAUCGAAGUUAUAGCCCACCAAAACAUGAACAAAGACUGCGAGAAACUCUCGGGUUAGGGGGGGUUACACUGGCCUGGUUCUUGCUGCAGCGAGAAACUCUCGGGUGGUCCCAAGAUUCUAGUGCAAUGCUUUCACUUCGACAAAGAUUUUGACCACCUUCCGAUCAGAACUGGGCAAAGUGAUCUGUAGCUAGUUGGGAUCGAGAUUAAAGAGACCACUCGUAUUCACCCCUUGGUAUGUAUAUGGCAUUCAGUAGCUGUGCCCUCACCUAAAUCACUCCGCUGGUCGUCAAGAAUUUUGUAUGUGGAUUUACACUCUAUGUAAAUCGCUAAGA